AGUAUGUCCUGUCUGUCCUGAAAUUUACCUACCCUACGUUAUUCCAAGGGUGGCAGACAUUCAUCGGUGGACUUCUGCUUCAUAUGUCAUGGAAGCUGGGCUGGGUGGAGAUCAACAGCAGUCCCAGAUCCAAUGUUUUGACAUGGCUUCCUGCUUCAUUGCUGUUUGUGGGUAUAAUCUAUGCAGGGUCCAGAGCAUUGUCUA